rnacentral:rRNA from 1 species
GACGAACGCUGGCGGCGUGCUUAACACAUGCAAGUCGAACGGAGUGGCGAACGGGUGAGUAACACGUGGGUGACCUGCCCUUCACUUCGGGAUAAGCCUGGGAAACUGGGUCUAAUACCGGAUAGUGUGGGAUGGGGCCGGGGCCUAUCAGCUUUUUGGUGGGGUAAUGGCCUACCAAGGCGGCGACGGGUAGCCGGCCUGGGAGGGUGGAAGGCCACAUUGGGACUGAGACACGGGCAAGACGCAUACGGGAGGCAGAAGUGGGGAAUAGUGCAAGAUGGGCGGAAGGCUGAUGCAGCGACGCCGCGUGGGGGAUGACGGGCGUCGGGUUGUAACGUCCUUUCACCAGCGACGCGGUAGAUGGAGAAGAAGAAACGGCUAACUACGUGCCAGCAGCCGCGGUAAUUC